UACGUAGGGUGCAAGCGUUGUCCGGAAUUAUUGGGCGUAAAGAGCUCGUAGGCGGUCUGUCACGUCGGCUGUGAAAACCCGGGGCUCAACCCCGGGCCUGCAGUCGAUACGGGCAGACUAGAGUGCGGUAGGGGAGACUGGAAUUCCUGGUGUAGCGGUGAAAUGCGCAGAUAUCAGGAGGAACACCGAUGGCGAAGGCAGGUCUCUGGGCCAUUACUGACACUGAGAAGCGAAAGCAUGGGGAGCGAACAGG
rnacentral:rRNA from 1 species